rnacentral:misc_RNA from 1 species
GUUAUUUUAGUGUUCUUAUGACUAGAAAAUAUCAAAUUUUAUUUUUAAUCAAUUCUUAAUACUCUAAUAUAUUUAAUUAAGUGCUUUCCUCAAUAAUUUCAAUAACAAUGCCAAACAAACCCUAAAUGUCAUUCACUAGAGAAUCAAAUGCUGAAUCUCUUGAAUGCUAGUCCUUCCAUGUCUGCAACAAAAAAACACUUUGAAAAGAGAGGGAGCAUCUUCUGAAGCAUAAAAAUGAAGCACAUGUUGUUGACUGUAGUCACAGGCUCUUUAUAUCCAAAACAGCUACAGAACCAAUUCUAAAAUUUAGCAACAGAUGUGCAAUUCCAUAACAACUCAUUGUCAGAGGGCACACUAUAAUCCCAACCCCCACUACCUAAAAUGUUAUUCUUCAAUAUUAGUCUUCUUUAAAAGUUACAGAUAUUAUUCUAUUUUCUGCAAGACAUAUAAGAUUCAACAUUCACUAGAAAUUUCAUCUCUUUGGUUAGAAAUUUGCAGAGGUUUUACUAGUAUGCAUUCAAAUAAUAAUCAAAUCUUCAGAUUCAAUUGAAUCCAUGAUUCUCAUCUCACAUUGUUGGGUUUGAGGAUGUGCAGAAAAGAAAGACUAAGCCUUCAACAGGUAAUGGUGACUGGCGCAACUUACAAAAAGGUUUCAAUAGUAAGGAGGCUACUUGAAGUAGGACAAAGAUGCCGAUAAGAAUGAGCUUCAGAGAAAGUGAAAAAGGUGUGCAUAAGCAUAUGCACGCACAUGUUUUCUAUAAGAAAGAAUUUUUCAGAAAUGAAAACCGAUUUUGAUUUGUGAGAAUGGCUCAUCUCAUUUAGAGCAGUAUUCCAAAAUGCAGGAAAAACAUUUGAAGCAUUCCUAAUAUAUUCAGCUUCCAAAAAAUUUCCAAAAAUGGUUUAGAACAUUAUGCAAAAUUCAGUUUUCUAAAUUACUUGCAUCUAUUUAACACAAUGACUGUUUUCAAAAGUAAGCCACCUGUUUAAUUGAAGCACAACAUUCAAUCAUCCAAAUGUAUAAUCAAAUCAAGAAGUUCCCGACGUAUGAGUUUCUAUACAUGACAUUUACCUUUAGAAUAUCAACCUCCAUGUCCUAGCAACUGAGUAGCAACAGGUAAUUAUUACAUUGAAGUUACCAUAGACUUUUUUUUUUAGUUAGUUUUUCUAGCUUUCUGCUUUCAUGGUUUUAUGUUGAGAACAAGGAAAGUAUUUCAGAAUUUCAUUUAAACUUUUACUAUUUUAGGAUUAGAACUUUUUUAUUUAUGCAAAAUAAAUUUUCAUCGUUAUAAUAGGAUUGAUUGGUUUUCUUAUUUCUAAAAAGUAUAAUGUUCCUUGUUUGCAACAAGUUUUGGUGCCAAUAAUGCUCUUUUUACACAUUGGAAAUGUGGAACACAAACUAUCCUUGCUGAUGAUCAAAUGAAUCGAGUUAUCUUUCGUUUUUUCUGUCUUUUGUUUCGUUAUAAUUCAACACUAUAUCAUCAUCAAUUUUCUUAAUUACCAGGUGAUUCUCAUAAAUGACAGAUUAAUUUGCAUAUCCUUAUAUAAGCUAAUGGUAUUCUAAUAUCCUUAGGGCAUUGUA